rnacentral:rRNA from 6 species
GCAGAGAGGUCACACCCGUUCCCAUACCGAACACGGAAGUUAAGCUCUCUAGCGCCGAUGGUAGUUGGGACCUUGUCCCUGUGAGAGUAGGACGUUGCCAGGCA